CCUACGGGUGGCUGCAGUGGGGAAUAUUGGGCAAUGGGCGAAAGCCUGACCCAGCGACGCCGCGUGGGCGAUGAAGGCCUUCGGGUUGUAAAGCCCUGUCAUGCGGAAAGAACGACCCUGUGACGCAUACUCACAGGGAGUGACGGUACCGCCGGAGGAAGCACCGGCUAACUCCGUGCCAGCAGCCGCGGUAAUACGGAGGGUACAAGCGGUGUUCGGAAUUAUGGGGCGGAAAGGGCGAGUCAGCGGUGAAAUACUCCGGCUCAACUGGGGAACUGCAUCUGAAACUGCAUAACUAGAGUACAGAAGAGGGAAACGGAAUUCCCGGUGUAGAGGUGAAAUUCGUAGAUAUCGGGAGGAACACCAGUGGCGAAGGCGGUUUCCUGGUCUGAUACUGACGCUGAGGCGCGAAAGUGUGGGGAGCAAACAGGAUUAGAUACCCCUGUAGUC
rnacentral:rRNA from 1 species